UGGUGGCGUGCAUCUGACGGGCGAAAUAUUGGACACAUGAGGCAGCAAUGGUAAAGUAAUGCUUGAGUGAAUGUUUCGCCAAGAAAACAUUGAUAAAGUUCACCAGCACAAGAAACUUUAAUUUGAGAAUACCUAACGAUAUUUGAAACUCCUUUUCAAAUUACAAAAUGAAUGAAAAUGUCACAAGUUGUGAACAAGACAUUGUGGUGCCUUGGCCUCUGUUCUCUCAUCUCCAUGCCAGAUGGCCAUUAUGAAGGAUCAUAAAUGUGUGAUCCUGAGCACUGAGAAGAGAUUUUUGCUGAUGUAGAGCUUUGUAACGGUGGACCCCACAGUCCAUGACAGAAACAAGUAGGAUAGAAAAUUCCAUCUUCUUCGAAAAGAAAAGGGGAGGUUUGCAUUUUAAGGAGCAGUACAUAUUGGCAGCCAUGUAGCUUUGUAGUUGCUUCGAAGAAUUUUUUCCCUUGUCUGGUGAUUGGUUGGACUUUGAAUACCUCCUAUCCUUAUAGCCAUGGAACACUUGACAUUGACUCCAUUUACACUUACAGAAUCAAAAACGAACACAUUUGCAACAAGUAUUUUUUGUGACCAAGAAACCAAAAUUUUUUUAUUUUUUUAAGCAUCUAUAGUUGGAAGACAUCUAGCGGAGGAAUUGCUUGUUACUGAGUACUCUACUGAACUGUCAAUUUGUUCGUUGUCAGGGGGCUACAUCGAGUUUGGUUGCCAUAAUAAUGGUUGCCUCGCGAAUUGGAAAUGUUUUGCCGAAUCCCAGGAUAUCGCCAAGUGUGCCAUAUUGUCACAAUUGUUUUUCCCCUUAAGAUGGUUACCAAUGUGAAGUUGAUUUCUAAAGGUUUUGUUUGAUAUGCUAUAUUUAAUGAACUGAUGUUGGCACCAGCCUGAUGGAAAAAAGUCAUUUCCAACGUGGGAAACUUGGAUUUAUUUUGUGAUUAAGAGUCGGAAUGUUUUUCUGAAGUUGCUGUUUGAAAUAACCUUUCAAAGCCUAAAUUCAUCUUUGUAGAAAGGGACUUGUGAAAAGUAACACUGGCUCUGUACAUGUUCUUGGUUUGGGGCAAGAUGUUGAAUAACCUGAGAUUAUUGGAUGGAAGACAUGGAAUUUCUACACUUUAUUCAUAUUCCCCAAACGGUAUUUAAAAUUCAAAAAUUGAAGUGCAUAUCUGGGCUCCCUUCCUUUCCGUAGCCCCGUUUCCC